ensembl:lncRNA
GAAAAAGUACAUUUGUUAAUUGUUCCGUUUCCAUGGCACCGAAGUCUUCAGGCUUUUUAUCUCUUGUUUUGACAAGCUGUCUUUGUACUGAAAGACCAUAGAGAUCAUAAGCGGGUUUUAUGCUGAAUGCUUUUGUGCUAUCAGCUCCUUUGUGAUCUGCAAAUGGCAAAUACACAGGCAGCAGGACUGCCAGACAUAAGGACCUGCUAGUCUAUCACUCUCCUUCAUGCCACAGAAAUGAGCUGAGAAACGGGCUGUAUAAAUGACAGGGAGGUGUAGGGCAGAGGCUGAAGCUGAUCUUGAACAUGAAGAUGAAAAAAAUUAAGAAGAAAAUUAAGAAGGAAAAUUCAUGCUCAUCAAAACCCAUGGAGAAUCUUCAGUACAUGUUAAACAGCUCCUCACUGCUCUGUAAAACCAGGCUGCGUUCCCUGCAGUGCAAGAGGAAAACAAUGCCACUAUCAAUAAUCUACAGAAGCACUUCUACCAGAUACCUCUGUUUUCAGGAAAAAUUCCAUUUGUCCAGCACUUCUGGCUAGUGUAGCUAUGAGUUAAUAUAUCUUUUUUACCUUAAAAAAAAAAAAAAAAAUUGAUCAAGGCCAAUCUCAGUUAUAAAUGUCUAAAUGUUUUAUAGUUUUGACAAGGUAGCUUCUUCC